CGAACAGGGCCGCGCAACUUUCCCUUUUCCCGGGGGUUAGCUACGAGGCCACGGGGCAAAGCUGCACGUUGAGACCCGGAAUAAUGAAAAGCAGCGGCUGGUAAUUCCCUUCGUGGAUGAAUGAAGUUCCCGGUCGAUCGUCCGCGCGUGAGGAUCCUCGAGUCCUCCUCUACUCGCCGUUCGUACCUCGCGAUCGAGUCGAUCACUCGGUCGAACCGUCGCGUUUCGCCGUUACCGUUGUGCCUCCACGUCGCCGAUAAUGAGAUUCGAACGCUCGAGUUUUAUGGGAUUUUUCGGAAUUCCUAGAGAUAAACACGUUGUAAUUGCUGCCUCCUACCUCCAGGACGAGAGUUCGUUCCUUUUAGUUCCUGUUUAACUUUCUGUACUUCGCCGAGUUUUAAUUUCUGAAUGCCACGCGGUUCAACAUGAGUUAUUCAAUUCCCUCCACCAUGAACGUUACGUACCACGGUAAGUUUCAUCGUUCAGACGCGGUUUUAACCGUGUAACGCGCGUAUUUAAUAGUCUCCUCGAAGUAUUUUUAUUUUAUGUUCAACUUCUUUUAACGAGCUUUUAAUUGCACGUUAAACUUCACGUCAUUCUAUCUGUGAAAUUUUAAAAU